CACAAUAUUCAAGUGUCUUCCAUAUCUGUUGAUAAGUGCUUAUAGGAUUACAGCUAUGGUCUUGGCAUAUGGAAGUGGGGUUGCGUACGCGCACUCAAGUCCAUUUGUCUAAUCGGCCAUAGCAAAUCCUCUGAUAGCACAGAUUGUUCAGUUCAUCAACAAUAAUGGUGCAUUGUUUGUGGUGUCAACACUAUUUGUCUAAUCUUAUCUAUCCUAGCGAGAGACACGUCAUAGUAAGUAAGGUAAAAUUUACCUGGUAUCAUUUUCACCUUUCUAAUUAUGAAAAUUGAAUGAUUGAAAUGAUUGAGAUGUAUAACUUCUCUUGAUGGUCUUUGCACUUAUCUUCUAUCACUUUGGUAGCUUCAGAAAUUUCUGAUUAACUCUUGAUAUGAUAACUGUAUGUGUCUUCACUAUCUAUCUAUAUGUUGUAAGUGCUAAUUGGAUUGUCGCUGUGGACUUGGCAUGCUGAUUUGGGGUUGUCGUCCAGACAAUCAAAUCUAAUUGUCUAAUGUCAUCUUGUGACAUUGCAAAUCCUAUGAAAGCACAGAUCAUUCAGUGUAUUUUUUAAAUUAACCAACACUACUUGAAUUGUGUAUUGUUUGUAGUGUUCAACACUGUCAGUCUAAUCUAAUCUAUCUACGUAAGGGACAGUGACAUUUCAGAGUUCAUAGGCUUCAUUCUAGCUGUUUCAGAUGAGUCAGCACCUCUACUAUUGGGAAAUAUGUUGCGGUUUAGUUUCUGUCCAAGAAAAAUGGCUGGGAUUCUGCGCUUGAAUUCUACUAGACAUAAACCAAUUAUUUUAUGGUACCUAAAAUAUCACUGUGAGUACAAAAUUUGAUUUGCUGAAUUGUCCAUGUAGAGCUUGUUCAGGACACAUUUCAUGAAGGACACAGGGAAUUUGAAGAUGAUUGUCGCGCAUUUUCUAUAGCCUGAGUUUUGGUGGAUAGUACCUGUCUGUUCGAAGACUGCUUCGUAAGGUAUGUACUUUUUAAUAUGGUAG